rnacentral:rRNA from 1 species
AAUGGGCGCAAGCCUGAUCUAGCCAUGCCGCGUGAGUGAUGAAGGCCUUAGGGUCGUAAAGCUCUUUCGCCAGGGAUGAUAAUGACAGUACCUGGUAAAGAAACCCCGGCUAACUCCGUGCCAGCAGCCGCGGUAAUACGGAGGGGGUUAGCGUUGUUCGGAAUUACUGGGCGUAAAGCGUACGUAGGCGGAUUAGAAAGUUGGGGGUGAAGUCCCGGGGCUCAACCCCGGAACUGCCUCCAAAACUACUAGUCUAGAGUUCGAGAGAGGUGAGUGGAACUCCGAGUGUAGAGGUGAAAUUCGUAGAUAUUCGGAAGAACACCAGUGGCGAAGGCGGCUCACUGGCUCGAUACUGACGCUGAGGUACGAAAGUGUGGGGAGCAAACAGGAUU